ensembl:lncRNA
AUCAUCAUCACCAUAAUAACCAUCAUCACCAUAAUAACCAUCAACACCAUAAUAACCAUCAACACCAUAACCAUAAUUACCAUAAUAACCAUCAUCCCCAUAAUAACCAUCAACACCAUCAUCACCAUAAUAACCAUCAACACCAUAACCAUAAUUACCAUAAUAACCACCAUCCCCAUAAUAACCAUCAACACCAUAAUAACCAUCAACACCAUCAUCACCAUAAUAACCAUCAACACCAUAACCAUAAUUACCAUAAUAACCAUCAUCCCCAUAAUAACCAUCAACACCAUAAUCAUCACCACCACCACAAUAACCAUCAUCAUCACCAUAAUCACCAUAAUAACUAUCCUCACCACCAUAAUAACCAUCAUCACCAUAAUAACCAUCAUUCCCAUAAUAACCAUCAACACCAUAAUAACCAUCAUCACCAUAAUAACCAUCAUCAUCACCACCAUAAUAACCAUCAUCACCAUAAUAACCAUCAUCACCACCACCAUAAUAACCAUCAUCCCCAUAAUAACCAUCAUCAUCACCACCAUAAUAACCAUCAUCAUCCCCAUAAUAACCAUCAUCAUCACCACCAUAAUAACCAUCAUCAUCCCCAUAAUAACCAUCAUCAUCAUCAUCACCAUAAUAACCAUCAUCCCCAUAAUAACCAUCAUCCCCAUAAUAACCAUCAUCAUCACCACCAUAAUAACCAUCAUCAUCCCCAUAAUAACCAUCAUCAUCAUCCCCAUAAUAACCAUCAUCCCCAUAAUAACCAUCAUCCCCAUAAUAACCAUCAUCCCCAUAAUAACCAUCAUCAUCACCACCAUAAUAACCAUCAUCCCCAUAAUAACAAUCAUCACCAUAAUAACCAUCAUCACCAUAAUAACCAUCAUCACCACCAUAAUAACCAUCAUCCCCAUAAUAACGAUCAUCACCAUAAUAACCAUCAUCCCCAUAAUAACGAUCAUCACCAUAAUAACGAUCACCAUAAUAACGAUCAUCACCAUAAUAACCAUCAUCACAAUAACCAUCAUCACCACCAUAAUAACCAUCAUCCCCAU